UGUGUAUAAAUCUAUGGCAUUCUAAUUGACUCAUAGUAUACUUUGGCGUUGAAAAUGACUCAUAGUAUGCUAUGGCACUCAAACGCGCAACCUUCAACAAUCUGUAAUUUAGUUCAAAUACCACAACAGUCGUCACUAACUAGUUGAUUUGUGAUGUUUCAGCCACAGGAAAUGAAGGGAACACCGCCCCCUGGACCACAGAGGAGCAGAAACUUCUAGAACAAGCUCUGAAGACCUACCCUGUGAGCACACCUGAGCGCUGGGAGAAGAUUGCUGUUGCUGUUCCUGGACGAAGCAAGAAGGACUGUAUGAAGAGGUACAAGGAACUGGUGGAGAUGGUCAAAGCCAAGAAAGCUGCUCAGGAACAAGUGGCAGCCAAGAAUAAAAAAUGACACCAACCACAAAGGAGGAUAGAAUCUUUGUUAUUUUAAUGUUAUUGUGUUAUCCUUUAUUUUAUAAUAAAAAAAAAACUUGA